UACGAAGGGUGCAAACGUUGCUCGGAAUUAUUGGGCGUAAAGCGCACGUAGGCGGCUUAGCAAGUCGGAUGUGAAAUCCCUCGGCUUAACCAAGGAAGUGCAUCCGAAACUGCAGAGCUUGAGUACUUAAGAGGAUCGCGGAAUUCCCGGUGUAGAGGUGAAAUUCGUAGAUAUCGGGAGGAACACCAGUGGCGAAGGCGAUCUUCUGGACGGAUACUGACGCUGAGGCGCGAAAGCUAGGGGAGCAAACGGG
rnacentral:rRNA from 1 species